UGAGUAACACGUAUCCAACCUGCCGUCUACUCUUGGCCAGCCUUCUGAGGGAAGAUUAAUCCAGGAUGGCAUCAUGAGUUCACAUGUCUGCAUGAUUAAAGGUAUUUUCCGGUAGACGAUGGGGAUGCGUUCCAUUAGAUAGUAGGCGGGGUAACGGCCCACCUAGUCAACGAUGGAUAGGGGUUCUGAGAGGAAGGUCCCCCACAUUGGAACUGAGACACGGUCCAA
rnacentral:rRNA from 1 species